rnacentral:rRNA from 2 species
ACGUAGGUGGCAAGCGUUGUCCGGAAUUAUUGGGCGUAAAGCGCGCGCAGGCGGAUCAGUCAGUCUGUCUUAAAAGUUCGGGGCUUAACCCCGUGAGGGGAUGGAAACUGCUGAUCUAGAGUAUCGGAGAGGAAAGUGGAAUUCCUAGUGUAGCGGUGAAAUGCGUAGAUAUUAGGAAGAACACCAGUGGCGAAGGCGACUUUCUGGACGAAAACUGACGCUGAGGCGCGAAAGCCAGGGGAGCGAACGG